rnacentral:rRNA from 1 species
AGAAAAUAGAUACCCAGGUAGUCCUAGCUGUAAACGAUGCAUACUAGAAGUGGGAGGGCUCAAACCCUUUCUGUUUCGGAGCUAAACGCGUUAAGUAUGCCGCCUGGGGAGUACGCUCGCAAGGGUGAAACUCAAAAGAAUUGACGGGGGCCCGCACAAGCAGUGGAGCAUGUGGUUUAAUUCGAUGCAACGCGAAGAACCUUACCUGGGCUCGAAAUGUAGAGGACGUUACAAGAGAUUGUAAUUCCCGAAAGGGUCUCUAUAUAGGUGCUGCAUGGCUGUCGUCAGCUCGUGCCGUGAGGUGUUUGGUUAAGUCCAGCAACGAGCGCAACCCUUAUCGUUAGUUGCCAGCGCGUAAUGGCGGGAACUCUAACGAGACUGCCUAGGUUAACUAGGAGGAAGGUGAGGAUGACGUCAAGUCCGCAUGGCCUUUAUGUCCAGGGCUACACACGUGCUACAAUGGUCGGUACAGAAGGCAGCGAAGCCGUGAGGUGGAGCAAAUCCUAUAAAACCGAUCUCAGUUCAGAUUGCA